rnacentral:rRNA from 1 species
AACGAACGCUGGCGGCGUGGUUGAUACAUGCAAGUCGAACGGGAAACAGUCCUUCGGGGCUGGAGUACAGUGGCGGACGGGUGAGUAACGUAUGAUCAAUCUGCCCUGAAGACUAGGAUAGCCGUCCGAAAGGACGGGUAAUACUGGAUAAGCCCACGGUAAGGCAUCUUAUUGCGGGAAAAGGAUUGGGAUCUUCGGACCUUUCGCUUCAGGAUGAGAUCAUAACCUAUCAGUUAGUUGGCGGGGUAACGGCCCACCAAGACGACGACGGGUAGCCGGCCUGAGAGGGUGGACGGCCACACUGGAACUGAGACACGGUCCAGACUCCUACGGGAGGCAGCAGUGCUGAAUUAUUCGCCAAUGCGCGAAAGCGUGACGGUGCGACGCCGCGUGCGGGACGAAGGCCUUCGGGUUGUAAACCGCUGUCAGGGAUUAGAAAACCGAUGCAGUUAAUAGCUGUAACGCUGAUCAGUCCCAAAGGAAGCACAGGCUAAUCUCGUGCCAGCAGCCGCGGUAAAAC